rnacentral:rRNA from 1 species
GAUGAACGCUAGCGGCAGGCUUAAUACAUGCAAGUCGAGGGGCAGCAUGACUGUAGCAAUACAGUUGAUGGCGACCGGCAAACGGGUGCGGAACACGUACAGAACCUUCCUUCGAGCGGGGAAUAGCCCAGAGAAAUUUGGAUUAAUACCCCAGAGUAUUACGGAGUGGCAUCACUUUGUAAUUAAAGAUUUAUCACUUGAAGAUGGCUGUGCGGCUGAUUAGGUAGUUGGAGGGGUAACGGCCCACCAAGCCUGCGAUCAGUAACUGGUGUGAGAGCACGACCAGUCACACGGGCACUGAGACACGGGCCCGACUCCUACGGGAGGCAGCAGUAAGGAAUAUUGGUCAAUGGACGAAAGUCUGAACCAGCCAUGCCGCGUGGAGGAUGAAGGUCCUCUGGAUUGUAAACUUCUUUUAUAUGGGACGAAAAAAGGCUUUUCUAAGUCGUCUGACGGUACCAUAUGAAUAAGCACCGGCUAACUCCGUGCCAGCAGCCGCGGUAAAAC